rnacentral:rRNA from 4 species
UGGUGAUGAUGGCAGAGAGGUCACACCCGUUCCCAUACCGAACACGGAAGUUAAGCUCUCUAGCGCCGAUGGUAGUUGGG